AACAUGGAGAGUUUGAUCCUGGCUCAGGAUGAACGCUGGCGGUCUGCUUAACACAUGCAAGUCGAACGGAGUGCUUCGGCACUUAGUGGCGGACGGGUGAGUAACGCGUGAGAAUCUGCCCUUAGGAGGGGGAUAACGACUGGAAACGGUCGCUAAUACCCCAUAUGCCGAGAGGUGAAAAGUUUUAUCGCCUGAGGAUGAGCUCGCGUCUGAUUAGCUAGUUGGUAGGGUAAGAGCCUACCAAGGCGACGAUCAGUAGCUGGUCUGAGAGGAUGACCAGCCACACUGGGACUGAGACACGGCCCAGACUCCUACGGGAGGCAGCAGUGGGGAAUUUUCCGCAAUGGGCGAAAG
rnacentral:rRNA from 1 species